UACAGAGGUCUCAAGCGUUGUUCGGAUUCAUUGGGCGUAAAGGGUGUGUAGGUGGCGCGCUAAGUCGGGUGUGAAAUUUCGGAGCUUAACUCCGAAACUGCAUUCGAUACUGGCGUGCUAGAGGACUGGAGAGGAGACUGGAAUUUACGGUGUAGCAGUGAAAUGCGUAGAUAUCGUAAGGAAGACCAGUGGCGAAGGCGGGUCUCUGGACAGUUCCUGACACUGAGACACGAAGGCCAGGGGAGCAAACGGG
rnacentral:rRNA from 1 species